CCACGGGCAGGCAGCCCGAGAGCCAGGCUUGGCAGCAACGCGUUGCCUCUCGUUGGCUGGGGGCUCCGUAGCGCUGCCAGUCCUGGCUCCCUCCCAUCCUUGUCAAAGCCUCCAGGCCUGACCAGCCGCUCCCCCUGCUCCCCCCAGCCCUGGCACCUCCCUUCCUGCAGAGCAGUGGUGAGGGCCCCAGCCCCACUCUGCAGCUCUUGGGUCCCCGCCCUGCCACUGGCCCGCACCCUCCCGCUCCCACGCCAGUCCUGCAGCGCCCCCUGCUGUUGGGCUCGGGCACAGCCACUGGCCCCGGCAGGGUCUCCCCCCUUGCCAUGGAAACAGAGAUAUUUUAGUGACCUCCUCGGGUGGAAAUUGACAUCAAUCUAUUCAGGGGCCCGCUGUUGCCAUAGAAACGUGAAUGCUCAGACACCCGUCUCUGGCAGCAGGGAGGUCCAGCCAGGGGCAGAGAGUUGUAUGGGCCCGGUGUGCCUGGGCUCCAGCAAAUUCAGGCCCCCGGGCCUCGGCUCCACCAAUGUUCGGGGCCGGGUGUCACCCUCCGCGCGCCUCCCCCAGAGAGGCCCCCGGCCCUGCCUGCCGCCCCCGUGCACCUCCCCCCGGACUAGCCCUGAACAAGGAGCUUUAGCAGAAUAAGGAACCAGCGUAAAUCCCUAAAGCUGAUUCUUUCUCUCGCUCUGCUUCACUGCAGAGCUUCUGCCUAGGCCCGUCCCCCCCCUCCUGCCUGCAGAUUUAAAGAACCGCCACCACCCCCUCCCCUCUGGCAGUACAAACAUCUUUAAACAGGAACGAACCAGUCAGCCAUGAACCCUGGCUGCUGCUGAGUCACCAUCUCAGCUCUCCGGCGUGGAGCAGGGUCUGGGCAAUCGAGUCACUUGGAUUAUCCCAUCCUACAAGUGCAGACAUCUGCGUGAUAGAUUACAGCCGUCUCCUUUAGGAUAAGCUCCAGUCCCUGAGGUGUUUUCUUAAACCCCCAGCUCCUGGAGUCAUGUGAGACUGCUUUCAUUUCAAAAGCGAAAACGAUUACCUACUUUUUGUAACUGUUGUUCUUCGAGAUGUGUUGCUCAUGUCCAUUCCGUUCUAGGUGUGCAUCCAUGUCAUAAGAGAUUUUUGUCUUAGCGGUAUCCAUAGGCUUGGCUUGGCUGUGGCGCUCCCUUGAGUGUCGCACUCAUGUAUCGGUAGAUUAGGCACCCUCUCACCGGCAGCUCGGACAGAGGGGCAGGAGGGUGGGUAAUGGAAUGGACAUGAGCAACACGUCUCGAAGAACAACAGUCACGAAAAAAGGUAGGUUAUUUUUCUUCGAGUGCUUGCUCAUGUCGAUUCCAUAAGAGGUGACUCACAAGCAAUAUCCCUGGAGGAGGGCUCGGAGUUCACGGUCAAAAAGCCAGUGUUGUCUCAAACUUGCUGGGUAAGCACAUAAUGAGACGCGAACGUGUGGCCAGAUGACCAGGGAGUGGCCCUGCAGAUCUCCUGGAUUGGUACCUGUGCCAGGAAGGCUGCUGACAAUGCUUAUGCCCUAGUCAAGUGAGCCGUCACGAUCACCAGCGGAGGCACCUUCGCCAGCUCAUAACAGUAGCGGAUGCAGGCCAUGAUCCAGGCCAAAAUCCUCCCAACAGACCCUGGACGACCUUUCAUUCUGCCUGCCACUGCAACGAACAACUGGGUUGAUUUACGGAACAGCUUUGCUCUAUCAAUGUAGAAGGCCAGCACCCUCCUGACGCCCAGGGUGUGUAGCCUCUGCUCCUCAUCUGACGCACGAGGCUUUGGAAAGAAGACCGGUAAGUAAAUGUCCUGGCCAGUAUGAAACUGAGAAACGACCUUGGGCAGAAAAGCUGGGUGCGGUCGCAGCUGGACCUUAUCCUCGUAGAAGACCGUAUAGGGUGUCUCCAAAGUGAGCGCCCUGAUCUUGGACACCCUGCGGGCCAACAUUAUCGCCACCAGGAACAAGACCUUCCAGGAGAGAAGCAGGAGAGAGCGCAAAUGGAGACCCCAUGAGUCUCAACAGCACGAGAUUCAGGUCCCAGGGAGAGAUGGGAUCCCAGACAUGAGGUAGACAUGCUCCAGACCUUUCAAAAACCAUGCCGUCAUGUUGUGAGCAAAGAUCGACCUGCCUUGGAACAGAGGAUGGAAAGCUGAGAUAGCAGCCAGGUGGACCUUGAUCGAUGACAUGGACAAACUUUGGAGUUUGAGGGGCAUCAGAUAAUCCAGGAUUUCCUGCAAUGGGGCCUGCUCGGCCCGAAUAUGCUGUUCCAAGACCCAGCAUGUGAACCUUUUCCAUUUGGCCAGGUAAGUCGCUCUGGUGGAGGGUUUUCUGCUACCCAGCAAGACCUGCUGGACACGGGCCAAGCAUGCCCGUUCAUCUGUGUUUAGCCAUAUGGUAAUCAAGCUCUCAACUGCAGCACUGCCAGCUUCAGGUGCAAAAGGCUGACGUGGUUCUGGGACAGCAGAUCCGGCCAGAGGGGCCGCUGCACCGGGGCGGCUACCAAAAGACUCAGCAACAUGCCGAACCAGUGCUGGCAAGGCCAUGCGGGGGCUGUUAGGAUAAUUCUCGUCCUGUCUUGCCUGAUCUUCCAAAGGACUGUGUGUGUCAGUGGCACUUGCGGGAAGGCGUACAUCAGCACCCCCAAACACGGAAUGAGAAAGGCGUCUGAUAGGGAGCCCCUGCCCAUCCCCCGGAUCAAACCGAACACGUGGCAUUUUCUGUUCUGCCUGGAUGCAAACAGGUCCACCUAUCGAGUCCUCCACCUCAGGAAGAUCAGGCUGACCGUAUUCAGAUGGAGUGACCACUUGUGGUGAGAUGAGAAGGUUCUGAUGAGGUGUAAUGAGGCUGGUUCUGGUGGGACCCAACUGAGGGUGCCAAUUCAGGACAAAUUGCUUCAAGCAGGGCAGUUACAGCCCCAGGCUGGGGUUCCUUUGCACACCAAGGCAAACCAAACCAGCCAGACAGAGAGGACUUUGGUUUUACCCCACUGGCGAACCACAAGUCACACAAGCAAUUCCCUUAGACGCUCCAGUUUCCCAGUAGCCCCACCAGUGCCACUCGUUAUGGGGACGAAUGGUUAUGAAAACCAAUACCCCAGGAAAAGAAAAAAGGUUCUCUCGAGCCCAAAGGACCAAGCCCCAGACCCAGGUCAAUAUACAAAUCAGAUCUUACCCACCAAUCACGCUGUUGCCCAUCCUUUAGUCUCUAAAAUCUAAAGGUUUAUUCAUAAAAGGAAGGAAAUAUAGAUGAGAGCUAGAAUUGGUUAAAUGGAAUCAAUGACAUCCAGUAAUGGCCAAGUUCUUGGUAGCCAAGUCCCUCCAGAGGUCGGAAGCAGGAUUGAAGACCAGAUGGAGGAGAUGCCGCAGCUUUUUAAUAGUCUCUUGCCAUGUGGUCUCUGCUUUCUGUGUCCCAAGGCCAAGCUGCCCAUCCCAUGGCCUGGAAACACCUCAGAGUUCUGUCCAUAGGCAGAUCCAUGCACACCUGGCUGAGCCCCAAGGCGUGUCUGCCUUCUCUCAGUGGGUCAGUUGUGUCGCUGAUGGUCCUUAAUGGGCCAUCCAGCAGGCUAGGCAGAGCUGACACCAGCUUGUCUGGGGUGUCACCCAGAAGCAGAGUUUGAACAACAGACAGUGUAGAGCCAAUAUUCAUAACUUUAACUACAAAAUGAUACACACACACAGACAGCAUCAUCCUAACCAGUCAACCACAACCUUGUGUGAGACACCUCAUUUGACCCUCUUUAUAAAAGAUUUUGUGCCACUACAGGACCUUGGUUGCAACCAUGUUCUAUAUGGUCCCAGUUCAAGUCCAUAACUUCACAUGAGGUUAUCCACCAAGAUGUUCCUGGUUCCAGGCAGGUACGUGGCUACCAGAUGAAUGGCCUGCCCAUAGGUGUACACCCAGGGAAUUUUAUUUUAUUUUAUUUUAUUUUAAAUGUCAACAUCUAUUGAAUACUCAGUCAUAAGGGACAUUAUUUUUAUUCAUCAAACAAACUAAAGAAACUAAAACUUAACUAAAGUUAAUUUUUUUUAAAUCAACAACUAAACUUUACUUAAAAAAUACAAACUUAAAAAAUGAGACACAAAAUACCAAAUUUUUGCUAUAGUGAUAACCAGGCGUAUACAAAGAUACAUUCAAUUUUCUUUAUCUUUAACCAGAUAAUGAGCUAACCCAAAUUGACCAGAACAGAUUAAGGUUUCUUCAUCUUCCUGUCCUAGAGAAUGAGACGCCCAGGUUCUCGCAGGUGGAGCUCACCAGAUCGAGGCUCCUCUGCACUUGCUCCCGAGACCUGCCUCUGAGGAGCCAGUUGUCGAGAUAUGGGAAGACCUGGAUCCCUCAAUGUCUCAGGUUCACAUUUUGUGAAUGCCCCCGGGGCCGAUGAGAGGCCAAAAGGGAGUGCUGUCAACUGGAAAUGGUGUCCGCCCACUAUGAAACGUCUGUGACCUUGGUUCUUCAAGUCGAAGGCAGUGUACCAGUCUCCCAGAUCCAGGGAAGGGAUGAUGGAGACCUGGGAGACCAUGUGAAACUUCAACUUUGUGAGAGAUUCGCUGCGGCCACGCAGGUCCAGAACAGACCCUUGAUGAGGCUGCCACGGCCUUGGCUGGAACUGCUUCCGUGCAGACUGCGGCAUAUGCAUGCCCAGCAAGCGAAGGGUGGCCUUAAUGUCCUUUAACCCAUACAGCCUCGCAUCAGUCUGCUCCAAAAAUAGACCGUUCCCAUCGAAUCGUUCCCAUCGAAACUAGACCAUUCCCUGGAUCGAGGUCUGCAUCUCGUGGGACAGGCCGGCGGUCUGAAGCCAGGAGCUGCGUCUCAUGACCACCGCCGACGCAAACGCUCUAGCCGCCAAGUCGCACAGCAUCUGGAGAGAGCACCUAGCCGCCGCAGUGCCCUCCUCCACCAGGGUGCCAAAUUCUUGGGCCAAACCCUGCGGGAGGGACUCCUUGAACUUACGGAGGGAGUCCCAUAAGUUAAAAUUGUACCUGACCAAGAGGGCCUGAUGGUUCGCCACCCGGAAUUGCAGGCUGGCUGCUGAAUAAA